AUUUCAGAUAUUGCCUAAAUCUAGAUUUGAAAGUUUGGUUUAACAUUUUAAGGUUGUGUCUGUGUUCUAGAAAGACAAAGCAGGGCAGAGAGAAUGACAAAGGGUUAAAGAAUAAAGCCUCCUCCAUCCUACUCCCCUUUUGUGUCAAGAAAAUGUAUAGUGAUUCUUAACCUUUUUUUGGGUCAAGUACUCCUGAGACACUAAUGAAACUGCUGGAGACUGUCACUAGGAACAUACACAUGCCUCCAAACAUCGGAAAUGCUGCCUUCCCUUCCACUGGCCCUCAGAAGAAGGGCUUCUGCUAAAUAAGGAGGAGGAAGAAGAUUGAAAAUAAAAGAGAACAGCAAGAAGAACAAAGAGAAGGAAAAAGCAGGAGAUGCACUUGGAUGAUACAUUACAGAUGAAAACCACCUUCACGUAUGUUAACUCGUGAAUGGCACAGAAUGAUCCUGUGGGCUAGGUCAUUCGGCCACAGGAAGAUGUACAAGGGGCCCCAACUCCACCUGGGAGUCAAACGACUCUAAGAUAUCUUGGAAGAAGUGCCUCACUUUUGAAAAAGGAGUAAGAAUCCACCAAAUGGGAGAGGAAGAAGAGGGUUCAAGGCCAAGAGGAAAGCAAAAGCCUACAGGUAAAAGGAAAGCAAAGGUCUACAGCCUCAGGAGCCAGACGAACCUGCAUCUCGAAGUGUGGCUUUCCGCUGGUCAUCUCACCGGAUGGAACCCUGCUACCACUUGCAAAUGAGGAGCUCUUGACAUUGAUUUCAGGAGUUCAAUGAAACAGCAUCUCAGUGCCUGGCACACAAUGACUGCUUCAUAAAUACUUGUUUGUGUUUUCCCCA